rnacentral:rRNA from 1 species
CCCCUAGAUGUUCUGGGCCGCACGCGUUCUACACUGAUACGUUCAUCGAGCAUUUUUGUCUUUGACAUCUCCUUGAUCGAAAGAUUUGGGGAAUCUUGGCAAAGCGUAUCGUGCUGGGGAUUGUGGCUUGUAAUUUUUCCACAUGAACGAGGAAUUCCUAGUAAGCGCGAGUCAUCAACUCGCAUUGAUUACGUCCCUGCCCUUUGUACACACCGCCCGUCGCUACUACCGAUUGAAUGGUUUAGUGAGUUCUCUGGAUUUUCUGAUUAGAUCUUCGGGUCUUUUCGGGAGAGAAGGAAAUCAAACUUGGCCAUUUAGAGGAAGUAAAAGUCGUAACA